AUUGAACGCUGGCGGAAUGCUUUACACAUGCAAGUCGAACGGCAGCACGGACUUCGGUCUGGUGGCGAGUGGCGAACGGGUGAGUAACAUAUCGGAACGUAUCCAAUAAUGGGGGAUAACGAGUCGAAAGAUUCGCUAAUACCGCAUACGCCCUACGGGGGAAAGCUGGGGACCUUCGGUCCUGGCGUUAAUGGAGCGGCAGCUAUCUAAUUAGCUAGCUGGUGAGGUAAAGGCUCACCAAGGCGACGAUCAGUAGCUGGUCUGAGAGGACGACCAGCCACACUGGAACUGAGACACGGUCCAGACUCCUACGGGAGGCAGCAGUGGGGAAUUUUGGACAAUGGGCGCAAGCCUGAUCCAGCCAUUCCGCGUGAGUGAAGAAGGCCUUCGGGUUGUAAAGCUCUUUCGCAAGGGAAGAAAACUUAGCCACUAACAUUGGUUGAGGUUGACGGUACCUUGAUAAGAAGCACCGGCUAACUACGUGCCAGCAGCCGCGGUAA
rnacentral:rRNA from 1 species